CGGAGAGGGAGCCUGAGAAACGGCUACCACUUCUAAGGAAGGCAGCAGGCGCGUAAAUUACCCAAUCCCGAUUCGGGGAGGUAGUGACAAGAAAUAAUAACAAGGGUAGUGUAAACUAUUACUUGAUUAAAAUGAGAACAAUUUAAAAAUCUUAGCGAGGAUCAAUGAGAGGACAAGUCUGGUGCCAGCACCCGCGGUAAUUCCAGCUCUUAUAGUGUAUAUUAAAGUUGUUGCAGUUAAAAAGCUCGUAGUCGAUCAUCUAGUGCUCGCCGUCUCGGUUCACUACUGAGGCGUGUGCGUGCUAUCAGCCCGAGAACCUCAUCGUCCUUAACUGGUCGACGGGGAUGAUCGGGCGCUUUCCUGAGAAAAAAUUAGAGUGUUCAAAGCAGGUUAAUGCCUUGAAUAUUUCAGCUUGGAAUAAUAGAAGAAGACUGAAGUUUCUUUUCGUUGGUUAUGAACUUUAGUAAUGGUUAAUAGGAACAGUCGGGGGUAUUAGUAUUUAAUUGUCAGAGGUGAAAUUCUAUGAUUUAUUAAAGACUAACUUAUGCGAAAGCAUUUGCCAAGGAUGUUUUCAAUUGAUCAAGAACGAAAGUUAGGGGAUCAAAGACGAUCAGAUACCGUCCUAGUCUUAACUAUAAACGAUUCCGACUAUGGAUCGGAAGGGUCUUUCGAGCCCUUUCGGCACAUUAUGAGAAAUCAAAGUCUUUGGGUUCUGGGGGAAGUAUGGACACAAGUCUGAAACUUAAAGGAAUUGACGGAAGGGCACACCAGGUGUGGAGCCUGCGGCUUAAUUUGACUCAACACGGGGAAACUUACUAGUACAAGACUAAGGUUAGAUUGACAGAUUGAGAGCUCUUUCUUGAUUCUUAGGGUGGUGGUGCAUGGCCGUUCUUAGUUGGUGGAGUGAUUUGUCUGGUUAAUUCCGUUAACGAACGAGACCUUAACCUGCUAAACUAGGAGCAGAAUUACUCAUUCUGUUUCCUUCUUAGAGGGACUAGGUGUUCAAGCACCGGGAAGUUUGAGGCAAUAACAGGUCUGUGAUGCCCCUAGACGCACUAGGCCGCACGCGCGCUACAAUGACACGUUCAACGAGUUUCUUCCUGGUUCUGACGGAUUCGGGUAAUCUUCAUAGUACGUGUCGUGCUUCGGGAUAGUCCUUUGCAAUUAUAGGACUUCAACUAGGAAUACCUAGUAUAGGUAAGUCAUCAGCUUGCCUAGAUUAAGUCCCUGCCCUUUGUACACACCGCCCGUCGCUCCUACCGAUUUUGAGUGAUUAGGUGAACCUUCUGGAUCAGAUAUCCUUCAGGAAUGUCUGGGAAGUUAAGUAAAUCAUUAUCACUUAGAGGAAGGAGAAGUCGUAACAAGGUAACC
rnacentral:rRNA from 1 species